rnacentral:rRNA from 1 species
CUCUUCUUGAAUAUAUUUUGAUGUAUGGCCUGCCCACUGAAUAUUGAAGGGCCGCGGUAUUUUGACCGUGCAAAGGUAGCAUAAUCAUUAGUCUUUUAAUUGUAGGCUGGAAUGAAUGGUUUGACGAGGUGUUAACUGUCUUUAAUUUUUUUUUAUUGAAUUUAAAUUUUAGGUUAAAAUGCCUAAAUAUUUUUUUGGGACGAGAAGACCCUAUAGAGUUUUAUAUAUUUUUAUUUUUUUGUGUGUUGAUUUUUGAUGUAAAAAUUUAUUUUGUUGGGGUGAUGGGAAGAUUGAAUUAACUCUUUUUGUUUUAUUAUAUUUAUUUGUAUUUAUUUGAUCCAUUUUUAUUGAUUAUAAGACUAAAUUACC